rnacentral:tRNA from 1 species
UCCGGUCUGGUUCUCAGGGUGAGAACGCACCGCUGUUAACGGUGAACGAGGGUGGUUCGAUUCCACCGGCCGGAGCCA